GAUGAACGCUGGCGGCGUGCCUAAUACAUGCAAGUCGAGCGAACGGACGAGAAGCUUGCGCUCCUGAGGGUAGCGGCGGACGGGUGAGUAACACGUGGAUAACCUACCUAUAAGACUGGGAUAACUACGGGAAACCGGAGCUAAUACCGGAUAAUAUUUUGAACCGCAUGGUUCAAAAGUGAAAGACGGCUUUGCCGUCACUUAUAGAUGGAUCCGCGCUGCAUUAGCUAGUUGGUAAGGUAACGGCUUACCAAGGCAACGAUGCAUAGCCGACCUGAGAGGGUGAUCAGCCACACUGGAACUGAGACACGGUCCAGACUCCUACGGGAGGCAGCAGUAGGGAAUCUUCGACAAUGGGCGCAAGCCUGACCGAGCAACGCCGCGUGAGUGAUGAAGGUCUUCGGAUCGUAAAGCUCUGUUAUUAGGGAAGAACAUCUGUGUAUGUAACUGUGCACAUCUUGACGGUACCUAAUCAGAAAGCCCCGGCUAACUACGUG
rnacentral:rRNA from 1 species